GAAAUUUUGUCCAGGCUUGUCUAGAUCAAAAUUUCACUCAUAAGGGGAAAGCUCUAUUCUUGACCUCAUUAACUAUGGUUUUGAUGACGUCAGGAGUUGGGUUAACCAUAUAAAACUACUCUAAAAUGACCGAGUAACAAUCCAAAAUUGUUUGAAAUCUUUUUAAUCAUUUCUAAAUUUCUGACAGCAACCAGAAACGAACUUUUGGACCGAUAUUGAUCGCUUACUCUCAAGAUAAAAAAUUAGCGUGACCCCUCUCUUGACGUAACAUGCAUAUCCUCAAUAAUCCAAGAUGGCGAACAGCUCACCUUUUUCAGUCGAAAUAUUUUGAAAACCAAGCAAGAUGUAAACAAUCUGUAAUAUAGUUUACUAUAGUUUUAAGAGUUCUUUCAAAUGAACUAAACGAAUUUUUUAUUGCCAAUGUCCUUUAUGUUGAUUUUAGGAAUGGCUGGGCAUGGCCUUGCAUGAAAUGAAUGCCAAUAAAUAUAGAAAUGAGAACAGUUAGUAACAGGGUCAGGGAUUUACUAGCCUGCGAACAGGCUCUCAAGCUGAAUUGAGAGCCUGCAUCGAUGAUAUACAAUUUUGAAUAUCUGCCCCGUAACGUUCGUUUUUCCAAAUAUGGAAUGUCUAUCCUUAUAUGGUGUUGUUUACAACUUUCGUGCAAACUAAAUUUAGACCGUACAGUUUACACUGUUUUUCGAAAUACAAG